rnacentral:rRNA from 1 species
UACGAAGGGUGUAAGCGUUGUUCGGAUUUAUUGGGCGUAAAGCGCGCGUAGGUGGAUUUUUAAGUCAGAUGUGAAAUCUCGGGGCUCAACCCCGAACGUGCGUCUGAAACUGGAGAUCUAGAAUAUUACAGGGGGUAGAGGAAUUUCACAUGUAGGGGUAAAAAUCCGUAGAGAUGUGAAGGAACACCAGAGGCGAAGGCGUCUACCUGGGUAAACAUUGACACUGAGGCGCGAAAGCGUGGGGAGCAAACAGGAUUAGAUACCCUAGUAGU